rnacentral:rRNA from 1 species
AUGAAAAUCCUUCAUGCAUGCUGCAAUGACCGUCUGUUCGAUCAAGCACGCUUGUAUUGUGCAACACUGGUUGAAUCCAUCCUUGAUGAGUCUGAAAUAUGGAAACAGGCAGGGGCUGUUGUCUAUGGGAGCUGCGUCUGCACACAUGGCCACUUGAUGGCAGCCAUGCCUGCUCGGCCUGCCAAUGCUGCAGUUGCUGAGGCUUUGCCGAAUCCCCUGUUUUCUUGCAUUUCUCUUCUUUUAUUAGUUAGUUUUUGGCUCCUAUUUCUUAUAUUUUUCUGGUCUUUGUUUUCAUGCCUUGGACAUGUUGUGUUUCCCACUAUUUUGGUGGUCUUCUAG